UUGGUUAUUUUAAAGGAUUUCAAUACAAUAGGAUCACGAGACAUUGAAGGCUUGUAUUUCUACAGCUGGAGUGAAUGAAAUGAUGAAAGAUCAGUUUGCUGGCUCUGCUUUUGAAUGGAGAAUCGGUGAGGGAAGAGGGAAUCUCUGGUGGUGCAAAUAUUGUUGCUACCAUUCAGCCGCCUCCAACCCAGAUGGACAAUGAGGGAUGAUAGAUUUCCUCACUCCUGGAUUAGCCCGUUCUUGCUUGCUCUCCUGUCUACCUCACAAGAGAAUUCCACGGGAAGCCCAGUUUUCUAUUCCUCAAAAUCAAAAAAGUCACAUUAUGGAGGCUCAGUCUGUUGUGAAAUGACUUUGUAAAUCAUUAUCUUAUUCAUACCUCCACAUAUCCAGAAAGAGGAAAAUCUUUCCUGAAAGGAUGACCUUCAAAACCGUAAUCUGUAAGGAUUCGCCUCAGAUCUGGAUGGUUGGCAAAGAAUACUCCAAACAUAUCCCAGACCUAGAAAGACAGAAAUUGGGUAAGUGAACAGCUCAGGAUGUUGACUUUACAGACGCUACCUGAUUAGCCUGAUUUGGAUGAUUUUCCAAACAGGAAAUAUUAGCUAUUAAUUGCUAGGAAUGUAGGCAGCUGAUAGAAACAACUGGAACUUAAAUUAACAAAUGCUUGAGAUCUACGAAACUAUCAGUUGUUUUAUUUAUUUAUCAAAUUUAUAUAGCUGUCCCAUCUCACCAGAAGUUACUCUGAGUAACAGAACCACUGUUUCACCAUUGUCGAAGUAAAUCACCAAGGGUAAGCACGAAAUGAGGAAAAUAUUUUGUUUUGAAACUGGAACAAACCAGAUCAUCCAGUUUGGCAAAAAUAAAA